rnacentral:rRNA from 1 species
GACGAAGGAUGCAAGCGUUAUCCGGAUUCAUUGGGUUUAAAGGGAGCGUAGGUGGCCUUAUAAGUCAGUGGUGAAAUCUUCGAGCUUAACUCGGAAAUUGCCAUUGAUACUGUAGGGCUUGAGUACAGUGUCUGUGGGCGAAUAUGACAUGUAGUGGUGAAAUACAUAGAGAUGUCAUAGAACACCGAUUGCGAAGGCAGCUCACAAAACUGUAACUGACACUGAGGCUCGAAAGUGCGGGGAUCAAACAGG